GAUCCUGGCUCAGGAUGAACGCUAGCUACAGGCUUAACACAUGCAAGUCGAGGGGAAACGAUAUUGGAAGCUUGCUUCCGAUAGGCGUCGACCGGCGCACGGGUGAGUAACGCGUAUCCAACCUGCCCACCACUUGGGGAUAACCUUGCGAAAGUAAGACUAAUACCCGAUGAUAUCUCUAGACGACAUCUGAAAGGGAUUAAAGAUUUAUCGGUGAUGGAUGGGGAUGCGUCUGAUUAGCUUGUUGGCGGGGCAACGGCCCACCAAGGCAACGAUCAGUAGGGGUUCUGAGAGGAAGGUCCCCCACAUUGGAACUGAGACACGGUCCAAACUCCUACGGGAGGCAGCAGUGAGGAAUAUUGGUCAAUGGGCGAGAGCCUGAACCAGCCAAGUAGCGUGCAGGACGACGGCCCUAUGGGUUGUAAACUGCUUUUAUAAGGGAAUAAAGUGAGUCUCGUGAGGCUUUUUGCAUGUACCUUAUGAAUAAGGACCGGCUAAUUCCGUG
rnacentral:rRNA from 1 species